rnacentral:misc_RNA from 1 species
UCGGUCCAGACAAGUCCGAGUCCUUGUGCACAUCGGGCUUGACCCGGAACGGAUUCAAGAUCGACUUGGUUUUCUUCCAGAUUUGAUCCGGGUGGAUCCCGAGUUCAUCGAGGAGGGGUUCUUCGUCUUCGAAAUUAGCACCACCAGGGACAGACCCACCACCGAUAGGACCACCAUAGAUGCUGCCGGAAGAUGUAGAAGCAGCGGCGGCGGAUCCGAUGUCGAAUGACAUAAACGGAAUGCUGGAGCCAGUCGGGCGAGGAGGCUG